UACGAAGGGGGCUAGCGUUGCUCGGAAUCACUGGGCGUAAAGCGCACGUAGGCGGAUUGUUAAGUCAGGGGUGAAAUCCUGGAGCUCAACUCCAGAACUGCCUUUGAUACUGGCGAUCUCGAGUCCGGGAGAGGUGAGUGGAACUGCGAGUGUAGAGGUGAAAUUCGUAGAUAUUCGCAAGAACACCAGUGGCGAAGGCGGCUCACUGGCCCGGUACUGACGCUUAAGAGCGAAAAGCGUGGGGAGCAAACAGG
rnacentral:rRNA from 1 species